ensembl:ncRNA C17E4.15 ncRNA
AAUAUAAGUUCGCUUCAAUGAAUUCAUGCAAAAAGAACCCUUCUGCUGAUGACGUCACAAGAGCGGAAAUCGCUUGGAUCCUUCAAAUUGUCUAGAGACACAGACAAAUAACGAAAGGGGGAGCCUGAGGUGAGCAGAAGCGGGUGGAUGAUUUUUGAAAAGCGUCACUUCAACGAAUCAAUUACGAAAUUCCAUUUUUAA